rnacentral:rRNA from 1 species
UACAGAGACUGCAAGCGUUAUUCGGAUUCACUGGGCGUAAAGGGUGCGCAGGCGGCUAGGUGUGUGAGGCGUGAAAGCCUGGGGCUUAACCCCAGAAUUGCACCUCAAACUACUUGGCUAGAGCAUUGGAGAGGUAGCAGAAUUCAUGGUGUAGCAGUGAAAUGCGUAGAUAUCAUGAGGAAUACCAGAGGCGAAGGCGGCUCACUGGCCCGGUACUGACGCUGAGGUGACGAAAGCGUGGGGAGCAAACAGG